rnacentral:misc_RNA from 1 species
AACGCACCUUGCGCUCCUUGGUAUUCCGAGGAGCAUGCCUGUUUGAGUGUCAUGAAAUCUUCAACCUACAAGCUUUUGUGGUUUUGUAGGCUUGGACUUGGAGGCUUGUCGGCCAUUCUCGGUCGGCUCCUCUUAAAUGCAUUAGCUUGGUUCCUUGUGGAUCGGCUCUCGGUGUGAUAACAUCUACGCCGCGACCGUGAAGCGUUUGGCGAGCUUCUAAUCGUCUCAGUUGAAGACAGCUUUAUGACCUCUGACCUCAAAUCAGGUAGGACUACCCGCUGAACUUAA